GAUCCUGGCUCAGGACGAACGCUGGCGGCGCGCCUAACACAUGCAAGUCGAACGGAGCUUAGAGAGCUUGCUUUUUAAGCUUAGUGGCGAACGGGUGAGUAACGCGUGAGUAACCUGCCCUAGAGUGGGGGACAACAGUUGGAAACGACUGCUAAUACCGCAUAAGCCCACGGUACCGCAUGGCACUGAGUAAGGAAAGUAUU
rnacentral:rRNA from 1 species